AUUGAACGCUGGCGGCAGGCUUAACACAUGCAAGUCGCGCGAGCGGCGGACGGGUGAGUAAUGUCUGGGAAACUGCCUGAUGGAGGGGGAUAACUACUGGAAACGGUAGCUAAUACCGCAUACCAUCAGAUGUGCCCAGAUGGGAUUAGCUAGUAGGUGGGGUAACGGCUCACAUAGGCGACGAUCCCUAGCUGGUCUGAGAGGCUGACCAGCAACACUGGAACUGGGACACGUUCCAGACUCCUACGGUAGGCAGCAGUGGGGAAUCUUGCACAAUGGGCGCAAGCCUGAUGCAGCCAUGCCGCGUGUGUGAAGAAGGCCUUCGAGUUGUAAAGCACUUUCAGCGAGGAGGCGUUACUCGCAGAAGAAGCACCGGCUAACUCCGUGCCAGCAGCCGCGGUAAUUC
rnacentral:rRNA from 1 species